UCCUGGCUCAGAUUGAACGCUGGCGGCAGGCCUAACACAUGCAAGUCGAAUGGUAACAGGAAACAGCUUGCUGUUUCGCUGACGAGUGGCGGACGGGUGAGUAAUGUCUGGGAAACUGCCUGAUGGAGGGGGAUAACUACUGGAAACGGUAGCUAAUACCGCAUAACGUCCCAAGACCAAAGAGGGGGACCUUCGGGCCUCUUGCCAUCGGAUGUGCCCAGAUGGGAUUAGCUAGUAGGUGGGGUAACGGCUCACCUAGGCGACGAUCCCUAGCUGGUCUGAGAGGAUGACCAGCCACACUGGAACUGAGACACGGUCCAGACUCCUACGGGAGGCAGCAGUGGGGAAUAUUGCACAAUGGGCGCAAGCCUGAUGCAGCCAUGCCGCGUGUAUGAAGAAGGCCUUCGGGUUGUAAAGUACUUUCAGCGGGGAGGAAGGGAG
rnacentral:rRNA from 1 species